CCAGGGCCGUAACUACAUUGAGGCAAAUGAGGCAAAUGCCUCAUGUUAGAAAUUAAAAAAAAAAUGAAACAAAAGAUUGUCUUCAUAUAUAAAAUUGUUUUCACGGAAAGUGUCUUGCAAGAAGCAAGUUCUCUUCACUCUCUGGUGUCGCCCCUGCAUGUUUUUCGUGAUCCAUGUUCCUAUUUUACUUUAAGUUUUCAGAGUUUAUGGUCUAUUGUUUAUACUUCUAUGUCGCGGGUUUGUCUUUUGUUCAUUUAUUGUCCUACUUUAUGACUAUAGUCUGAGUGUUCAUUUUUAUUUGUUAACCUGUGGUUUUUGCAAUGUUUCAUGUCCAUGGAUGUACAGACAUUUUGCAAGAAAAUAUUUCAAGAAUAUACGAUGCUACUGGACACAGAAAAAAAAUGGUCGUUUCUGCAUGGAGAAUUGAACUUGAUAUCAAAGAAUACAAAAC
rnacentral:lncRNA from 1 species